CCUACGGGUGGCAGCAGUGAGGAAUAUUGGUCAAUGGUCGCGAGCCUGAACCAGCCAAGCCGCGUGAAGGAGGACGGCUCUGCGGAUCGUAAACUUCUUUUAUAAGGGAACAAAGGAGGGGACGUGUCCCCGGUUGAGUGUACCUGAUGAAUAAGCAUCGGCUAACUCCGUGCCAGCAGCCGCGGUAAUACGGAGGAUGCGAGCGUUAUCCGGAUUUAUUGGGUGUAAAGGGUGCGCAGACGGGUUGUUAAGUCAGCUGUCAAAGCGCGGGGCUCAACCCUAGGACGGCAGUUGACACUGGCAGUCUUGAGUACGGGAGAGGUAGGCGGAAGUCGUGGUGUAGCGGUGAAAUGCAUAGAUAUCGCGAAGAACUCCGAUUGCGAAGGCAG
rnacentral:rRNA from 1 species